rnacentral:lncRNA from 1 species
AAAACUGAUAAAAAAUAAUAAGCUUAUACUAGUUUAUGUGGUCUCUAUAGUAUAUAGUUGAAGCUAAACUAACCGCAGUGAAAAAUGUGACUGGUUCCACCACUAGACAUUGAUCAUUGAUGCUCGCACUUGAACAUCAUUCAUGCUGCUGCUGCUUUAUUUAAAAGUGAAUUCAAUCUUAUUUUAAAGGAUGCUUACCGUGAACUCUAAGUGUUACAUAAUGAUUCUCUCAUAAUUUAGCUCUCUU